rnacentral:rRNA from 1 species
CGGCGGACGGGUGAGUAAUGCCUAGGAAUCUGCCUGGUAGUGGGGGACAACGUUUCGAAAGGAACGCUAAUACCGCAUACGUCCUACGGGAGAAAGCAGGGGACCUUCGGGCCUUGCGCUAUCAGAUGAGCCUAGGUCGGAUUAGCUAGUUGGUGAGGUAAUGGCUCACCAAGGCGACGAUCCGUAACUGGUCUGAGAGGAUUAUCAGUCACACUGGAACUGAGACACGGUCCAGACUCCUACGGGAGGCAGCAGUC